rnacentral:rRNA from 1 species
AUUGAACGCUGGCGGCAGGCCUAACACAUGCAAGUCGAGCGGAGUGGCGAACGGGUGAGUAACACGUGGGUGACUUGCUCUGCACUUCGGGAUAAGCCUGGGAAACUGGGUCUAAUACCGGAUAGUGUGGGAUGGGUCCGCGGCCUAUCUGCUUGUUGGUGGGGUAAUGGCCUACCAAGGCGGCGACGGGUAGCCGGCCUGGGAGGGUGGACGGCCACAUUGGGACUGGGGCACGGCGCAGAGUCGUACGGGGGGCAACAGUGGAGAGUAUUGCACAAUGGGCGGGAGACUGAUGCAGGGGCGCCGCGUGGGGGAGGACGGCCUUCGGGUUAGAAACUCCUUUCGGCUUCGACGCGGUAGAUGGAGAAGAAGCACCGGCUAACUACGUGCCAGCAGCCGCGGUAAUAC